rnacentral:rRNA from 2 species
UACGGAGGGAGCGAGCGUUGUCCGAAGUUACUGGGCGUAAAGCGCGCGUAGGCGGGAAAUUAAGUGAGAAGUGAAAGGCUGGGGCUUAACCCCAUGCAGUGCUCCUCAUACUGGUUUUCUUGAGGGUGGUAGAGAGAAGUGGAAUGGCUGGUGUAGCGGUGAAAUGCGUAGAUAUCAGUCGGAACACCAGUGGCGAAGGCGGCUUCUUGGGCCAUUACUGACGCUGAGGCGCGAAAGCCAGGGGAGCGAACGGG